CUCACCUCCCACUAUAUCCCGUGGGUUAUCCUAUCACUACCUCGGUAUCUAUCUUCAAAACAAGAACAAACCUACCCCAAUCACACCCGGAAAAUUCAAGGAAAUAUCGUCGCAGACUCUGAAACUCUCUUCCGAAUAGAUCAGAUCCAAAACAUCUGAUUGGUCUAAUCAAGGUUCUUGUUCAAAGAUCCGACUGUUAGGUCACUUGGAAUGGAAUUCAUUUAAUAAUGAUCCAAAUAAUUCGGUUUUUUCAUGGACGGUUCAUGUGAAAAGAUCUUCGCUGAAGUGAUAGUUUUUCCUGGAGGUUGCCUCAUGGGCAGUAAAAUCAUCGGCAUGAGUCGUCCACAUGAACCACACCAGCCCUUCUUCCCUUUUGGGAAUCCUUUCCGAAUGUUAUCAUCAUCGCAUCUGUCUCGAAAGCUUCUUAUACUAUCAAAGACUUUUGAGGAAACCUUGGCAGAGAGGCUGAGAAGGCUUAAUCCCAAAGACAAGGGUGAAAUUCUCAGCUUUUCAUGGAUGAAAUUAGCAAUGGAGUCACUUUGUGAAACACAUAACGACAUAAAAACCCUCAUAACAGAUCUUGAGCUCCCUGUGUGUGACUGGGAUGAGAAAUGGUUAGAUUUGUACUUGGACGUCAGUGUGAAUUUACUUGAUGUAUGCAUUGCUUUUAGCUCUGAGCUCUCACGGUUGAACCAGGGAAAUCUCUUGCUUCAGUGUUUGCUACACAAUUUCGAAUCCAACUCCUCAAAGCUGUUUAUCCGGGCCCGAUCUUCACUUGAUGGCUGGCGACAGCAUGUCAAUUCAAAGAACCCUAGAGUUGAAAACUGUUGCACCAUUUUGGACAAGCUUGUGAAGUCACUGGAUCUUCCCAAGGUUAAGAACUCAGCCAAAGGUAAGGUUUUAAUGAGUGCUCUGUAUGGAGUUAAGGUGGAGACAAUAUUUGUCUGUAGCGUCUUUGCUGCAGCUUUCUCUGGUUCUGGUAAAAAGUUGCUAGAUUUAGAUGUUGCUGACAAAUUUAUAUGGGCACGCGCAUUUACUAGCCUGCAGACUAGUGUGAACGGGGAAAUUAGAAAUAUAUUGUCCAGUGGACGAUUUCCAGUUUUGAAAGAACUUGAAGCAGUUGAUACAAGUGUUAAGAAAUUGUAUCCCACGAUCCAAGAUGGUGUCAACCCUGUUGAAGAGGAAGCAUUCCAGAAUUCUGUUUCAGAUUUGGGAAGGAGAGCCGAGAAACUUUCACAAGGACUAGAUCUUCUUACUAAGGAAGUGGAUAGCUUUUUCCAGUUAGUUUUAACUGGGCGUGAUGCUCUGCUUUCUAAUCUAAGAACAAGUACGGAUUCUGAUGGAAGGCUUGAGGGAAACGGAAUAGAACGAGUUUGAAGUUGAUUAUGUUGGAACUGAACUCAAUCCAAAGUACAGAUGGGUCUGGAAUAGUUUGUCAAUUCAAACUUGAUCAGGAAUCACAGGAAGUUGUCGAUGACUCGAUAUGAUCCCCUGCAAAAUACUAACACUAUCCUGUAGUUAUCAUAUGGAGGAUGAUGGGUGAGGAGUUCCUUCUUCCUGAAUCUCUCUGGGUCAUCAUCAACUUGCCCAGUUUUGGGUGGAAUUGACGGGACCCUGAUCCAAUCUACCACUUGAGGCCCCAGGCAAGAAGCAGCACAAGAAAAUUGUGCUGUUGUAUUUUUUGGUCUCUUGCUUUGUCACAUAGAGCUCAAGGACUGAGGCUUAUGGAUUGUGAAAUGGCUGGGGAGCAAAUCUUUCAAUGCACCCUGCACAAACCUUCACCGCAAAGCAACGCAUGCCAAAUAAAUCUAACCUUCAAACCUUAGUGAUCGAGCCUGGGCUGUAUUACUCGCCCAAACUCUGCUUGAUUUAUGAAAAACUAAGUUGGAGUUUGGCAAGAAACUCGAGUUGUAUUUGAGUACUCAAGUUGAACACGGCUCUACUAAAGAUUUUUUUUUUUCUUUCUA